CGGUAUCCCGGUGGGCCAGUCCGGCCCUGCUCCCCAGUGGUUUCAUUGGACAUCGCAGCUCUUUAACAGCACAGUCGGGCCCCUGUCAGACUGGCAAUGCUGGGAGCAAGUUAGUUCUGGUCACUUUCUCACAACUUACAAAGCGAGACACGUCGUCUAGGAGGAGGCACGGCGAAAAGAGGGGAGCGAGGAAGAAGAGAGCUGGGACCAUACUGCCUCAGCCAGCAGCCGGAUACCAGUGUACUCUGUGAAAACUACCAGCCUGAACUCGAAAGGUAAGGAAACAGGAGAGUGGCUAAAUAUUUGGAAAAAC